AUAAUCUAUUUCCUCAAUUACGGGCUGCUUACUUUGAUCGAAUUGUUUAACAUUUUGGAUGCGAUUGAGAUUGGGUUUUCAAUUUCGGUGCAUGCAGCUUCGGGUUUGGGUGGUAGAAAAUUGAAAUGGAGAGGAAAUAGCUUUGGUUUGGAUAGAUAGUUUAAAAUUAGGUGAGAGUUUGAGAACCGAGAUUGAUUGAUUGGGUUGGGAAUUUCCGUUUCACAUUCAAAGUUUCAAUCUUUGAAGGUUCUUAUUACGAUCCAGAUGUUGAUGUCAUUGGCACAGAGUUUACAGGUCUCGAAAUGGGUUUACAGUAAAGGCGUUGUUCAGCACCUUUAUUUCGGAAGGAACCCACCCAUGUUCACAGAGAUGAGACUUCUCCGCCAGUCUACUGGUGAUGACCAUUUGGGCUGUUCACUCGGGAUUGGAAAAGACUCUUUUGCCCUUUGUUUUCGGUUUAGUUACGGUUUUGUUGUAGGUGAUGAGAGGAGAGAGAAACAGCUGUUGCCGUGCAAAUCAGAAGGAAGUGGUUGUGAUAGAAAGGGAUAGAAACUGAUUGUGAUAGCGAAGGAGUGAUAUAGAUUGGGCUGUUGGAGUAGAGAGGAGAGGAGAGGAGGAGGGAAUUAAGAUUUUGAUAGAGUUUGGGAGGAGAGAUCUAAAAUUUUGAUCGGCUUUGGGAGCUGGGUUUGUAUUUAUUUUGGAAGAGUGUGUGCCAAGAUUUUGAUGGAGUUUGGGAGACAGGUUUCAGCAACAGAAGAGUGAUCGUAAUUUUGUUAUGAAAAUUGAUUAAAGCAAAAAAGGGCCAGUUAUCUGAGUUUCCAAAUUGUAAUUAUAGUGGCCACUUUGGGUGUUCUCCAAAUGCCUUGAUCGAGCCAAAGAAGACCUUAGCAUCAGGGAAAUUGUUAAAUCUCUCCAUGGACUAUGUUGCCUAUUCGAACAUUAUAAUCAUGCUUCACAAAACAUAUAUAUAUAUAUAUAUAUAUAUAUAUAUCAUGGGAAGAAAUGGUCUACUGCAGCGCUUCAAUCCGUAGAUUCGCAACACACAAUGGUUGGUGGUAUAGAGCAAGCCCAAGCUGUUACAAACAGCUAAAAGAAAAGGAAAACAGCAAUGAAUUCCUUUGUGUGCAGCAUGACAUACAAACAGCUCUUCCAUGUUACAGAGUCUAUAUGACCAUUGAGGAUGCUGAUAAUCAAGCAACAGUUAUGCUGAUGGGAAGACAAGCAGAACAAUUCUUUGGCAGCAGCUGUCAAGACUAGUGAACAAGAGAUCAUAUCCAACAGAAAAAACACUGCCAGAAGAGAUAGCAAAGACAAUAGGCCAGAACCAGCCUUUUUCAAAUCAAAGUGAAUCUCGAUGGUGAACUCAUAGUGAAAGCUAUCUUCCCAAAUGGACAACCUUCUGGACCACCAACACAAGAAGAGAACUGCAACUCCUUCUGAGAGAAAAAGAGCCAUCGAAACACGCGGAAGAGAAUUAUUCAUCUCUGAACCAGACAAAAAAGCCAAGAGUGAGAGGCAAACCAGACAUGGAACAACAUCAUCAUCAUCAGCACCAUCUUUAGCAAGCGAAGUACAAGGUCGGAAACAGAAAAAACUACUAAACGUAAAUAGCCAGUUUAUGUAACUAUAACUUUUGCUACACUGACCUAUUUUGUGUAGCUGCAACAACAGCAACAACUGCUCUUUUUGUGUAGAUAGAAUGAAGCAAAGUAUUUUGAAUGAACUCCAUCAGCAAAGUAUUUUGUGUAGCUGCAACAACAGCAACAACAUCUUUAGCAACGUAUCACUACAACAGGAGCAACCGAGCAACCACUGUUUUUUGAUUGAACUCCAGCAGCAACUUUUCCUAACCAACUCCAGCAUCCAACCCAGCUGCAACUGGAAGUAAUCAGCUAGAGGAUUUUGGGAGCGAUGACCUUUCUGAACAAGCUCCAGCAACAACCUUUGCUAGAUUAGCUUAUAACCCUUCUAUAAAACUAGCAUUUUUGUACCAGCUCCAGUUGAACAAAGCUUCAACUAGAAUGUAAUAUGUAUAAACAUUGUUUGACUACAAAUUUUUACAUAUUAGUUCCUUUUCUAUUUCGUUGU